rnacentral:rRNA from 1 species
GAUGAACGCUGGCGGCGUGCCUAACACAUGCAAGUCGAACGGAAAGACGGUGAGAUUGUGCUCUUACCGUUUGCGGCGGGCGGGCGGGUAACGAGUGCAUCGGAUUCUUCUUUUUCUGGGAUGAUUACGUAAGGAAGGUUACGAUAAUACAGCAUACGAUGUACGGCUUGAAUCAGUGGAUCUUCACGGCUUUGGUGCAUGUACUAGCCGGUGUCGGGUUAGCUAGUUGGGGGGGUAAUGACCCACCAAGGCAACGGUCCGUAGCAGGGCUGAGAGGAUGAUCAGCCACACUGGAACGGAGACACGGUCCAGACUCCUACGGGAGGCAGCAGUGGGGAAUAUUGGGCAAUGGGCGAAAGCCUGAUCCAGCAAUACCGCGUGAGUGAUGAAGGCCUUCGGGUCGUAAAGCCCUUUUGUUGGGAAAGAAAAGCUGUAGGUUAAUACCUCGCUGUCUUGACGGUACCCAAUGAAUAAGCACCGGCUAACUACGUG